rnacentral:rRNA from 1 species
UUUAUUGGAGAGUUUGAUCCUGGCUCAGGAUGAACGCUGGCGGCGUGCCUAAUACAUGCAAGUCGAGCGAAUGGAUUGAGAGCUUGCUCUCAAGAAGUUAGCGGCGGACGGGUGAGUAACACGUGGGUAACCUGCCCAUAAGACUGGGAUAACUCCGGGAAACCGGGGCUAAUACCGGAUAACAUUUUGAACUGCAUGGUUCGAAAUUGAAAGGCGGCUUCGGCUGUCACUUAUGGAUGGACCCGCGUCGCAUUAGCUAGUUGGUGAGGUAACG